rnacentral:tRNA from 1 species
GCCCAUGUGGCUAAGAGGUUGGAGCAUCAGAGCAUGAACCUGAAGGUUGCAGGUUCAAUUCCCAGUCAAGGGCA